rnacentral:rRNA from 1 species
UACGUAGGCAGCAAACGUUGUUCGGAAUUACUGGGCGUAAAGAGUGUGUAGGCGGCUUUGUUAGUCUGGUGUGAAAUCUCCCGGCUUAACUGGGAGGGUGCGCUAGAAACUGCAAGGCUAGAGUAUCGGAGAGGAAAGCGGAAUUCCUGGUGUAGCGGUGAAAUGCGUAGAUAUCAGGAGGAACACCGGUGGUGUAGACGGCUUUCUGGACGAUCACUGACGCUGAGACACGAAAGCGUGGGGAGCAAACAGG